rnacentral:tRNA from 2 species
GCCCUCGUAGCUCAGUGGAUAGAGCGACCGCCUCCUAAGCGGUAGGUCAGCAGUUCGAUUCUGCUCGAGGGCGCCA